AGAAUCAACGCUGGCGGCGUGCCUAACACAUGCAAGUCGAACGAGAAAGGGCGAUUGUAGCAAUACAGUUGCCUGAGUAAAGUGGCGACCGGGUGAGUAACACGUAGCUAACCUACCCUCGAGCGGGGGAUAACCUGGGAAACUCGGGCUAAUACCGCAUAAGAUCCCAGUGACGCGAGCCACAGGGAGCAAAGGCCCGCAAGGGUCACUUGAGGAGGGGGCUGCGGCCGAUUAGCUAGUUGGUGAGGUAACGGCCCACCAAGGCGAUGAUCGGUA
rnacentral:rRNA from 1 species